CUACCUGGUUGAUCCUGCCAG
rnacentral:ncRNA from 27 species